UAUUUUACUAGGUAUUCCAUAAUGCAGUGCGGCGAGACUCCCGUACCCUUUCAGAGUCCGCGAAGCUCCUGGACUUUCGCGGCGCAGAAGACGCUGCACGGCCUUAUGGGAAUUGCAGUGUCCUGAGGGACUAAGGGGCUUGUGGCGGGCUGGGCUAGGCCGGAUGUGAGUCUUUACCUGCAAGCCCGGCGCCGUGCGAGCCGAAGACGGAGGCUGAGAAACAAAGGAAUCCUCGCGGCGGGCCGCCUGGAGAUGACUCGGGCUUCCGCCGCGGGGCAUUCAACCCCACCCCCUACCCUCCAGCCGAUCCAACCACUAGUGAAGUCGAGGAUGGACGUGAGACUCUAACGCAAUGAAAGGGGACUUGGGAAAAGGACUGGAAAGGGAUGGAGCAGGAAUAGAAAAAGCUGACGUGGGAACACUAUACUCGAGUGAGACUCUGGCUUGGACCUUGGGUUUUGUCGGUUUUGCCCCACUCCCUCACUGGGAGGUGGGAUGCAUGUGAAAAAUAAUGGAAUAAAUUCUACUCUUUUCUGAAGCACUUAAGUCUCUGAUUCACGUGUGUCCACAAAAGGAAUAGGAGAGUUCAGGCUGUACAAACACAUGGAAAGGGUGGGGUAAAACUAUUCUCUUCCCAAAUAACCUCACCUAUUAAACAACUUUGCUUACACAAAACGUUUAAGAAAGCAUCGGAGGAGCUAGCUAGGAUUUUUAUUAGCUGGAAUAAGGGUCUCCCAUUCCGCACCCCCGCUCCCGCCCUAACUUAGUGGCCUAAAGACAAGCCAAGGCUGCUCUGCGGCUUACGACCAACUCCUUGUGCUCGAAGUUGGUGCAGCUGAGGCUCGGUUCCACAACACCUAAGAUCUUAAAUGCUUCUGUAGUGAACAGAUAUGUCUCCUCUCCAUUCCUUUUGCUUCAGAUCAGGCUUUGAUUUGAACAGUUGCCAAAUCUUUUUAUAUUAAUUGUAUUUGUUCUUGUAAUAAGAUUAUCACAUGGCUCAAAAUUCAAGAUACAAAGGAUAUAAAGCAGGGGUGUCAAACUUUUUUCAUCCAAGGCUACACCAGCCUUGCAGUUGCCUUCAAAGGGCCGACUGUAAUUUGGGGACUGUAUAAAUGUAACUACUUAACUAGGGGCAAGGAGCUCAGCGCUGCUGCUGGGUAGAAACAAGGUGCUGGGAAGGAUAGAACAAGGUGAAGGGCAGGAUUCCGCCUGCAAGCCUUGUGUUUGCCACCUGUGGUAUAAAGUGAAGAUGCCCACCUCUGUCUCUGGCCUCCCACAGCACAUCCACACAGGCAGCUUUUUGUUACAGGUCCAAAAUAUUUUAUGUAUUUACACACAUAUGCAAAUACAUAUACCUUCCCCUGUUCAAUUCAAACAGUAACUACACACACUUUGCAUUUUGCUUCUUUUAACGGAGUGUACCUUGAAGAUUAUUCCGUAAAAUAAUCUGUACAUAAAAACAUCAUUCUUUGGUAUGACUGCUUAGUAUUUAAUUAUAUGAAUGUAGUGUAACUUAAUUAGUCCCUUUUGAAUCUUUAAAAAAAUAUUAAUGGGUGUUUAGGUGGUUUUCUGUCCUUUGCAAUUAUAAACAGUGCUGCCAUAAAUCACCUUGUAUCUGUUGCUUCAAAUGUGUGACUAUAUGGAUGGCAUAAAUUCCUAGAACUACUGAGCCAAAAUUUAGGUGCACUUGUCAUUUUGAUUGAUAGGCAGUCUAUUAACUGAUCUGUUUCUCAGCUUCUAAUCUCUACCAGUUGACCCUUCUAAAGCACAGAGCUGACCCUGUUGAACCUCUAAUUCUGAUGCUUGGGUGGUAUGCUUAGUGUGAAAAGAGAGUUCGUUCGUAAUGAUCUUU